GUGGGGAGCAAACAGGAUUAGAUACCCUGGUAGUCCACGCUGUAAACGAUGAGUACUAGGUGUCGGGGGUUACCCCCUUCGGUGCCGCAGCUAACGCACUAAGGACUCCGCCUGGGAAGUACGAUCGAAAGAGUGAAACGCAAAGGAAUGGACGGGGACCCGACCAGGUAGCGGAGUAUUGGGUUUAAUUCGAAGCAACGCGAAGAACCUUACCUAAGCUUGACAUCCCAAUGACAUCUCGUUAAUCGGAGAGUUCCCUUCGGGGACAUUGGUGACAGGUGGUGCAUGGUUGUCGUCAGCUCGUGUCGUGAGAUGUUGGGUUAAGUCCCGCAACGAGCGCAACCCUUGUCUUUAGUUGCCAUCAUUAAGUUGGGCACUCUAGAGAGACUGCCAGGGAUAA
rnacentral:rRNA from 1 species